rnacentral:guide_RNA from 1 species
AUAAUAAACAAUAUACAAAAGAACGAGACGUAUAUCUAUAUAUAAGAAAUUAAA